rnacentral:tRNA from 1 species
GUUCUUGUAGUUGAAUUACGACAACAGUUUUUCAAGCUGUAGGUCUAGGUUAAGUCCCUAGCAGGAAUA